rnacentral:rRNA from 1 species
CCUACGGGAGGCAGCAGUGGGGAAUAUUGCGCAAUGGGCGAAAGCCUGACGCAGCGACGCCGCGUGAGGGAUGAAGGUCUUCGGAUCGUAAACCUCUGUCAGCAGGGAAGAACGGUCACUGUGCUAAUCAGCAGUGAAUUGACGGUACCUGCAAAGGAAGCACCGGCUAACUCCGUGCCAGCAGCCGCGGUAAUACGGAGGGUGCGAGCGUUAAUCGGAAUUACUGGGCUUAAAGCGGUCGUAGGCGGUAUGUCAAGUCCAGGGUGAAAUCCCCGCGCUCAACGUGGGAACUGCCUUUGAAACUGGGAAACUGGAGUGUGUGAGAGGAUAGGGGAAUUCAAGGGGUAGGAGUGAAA